UCUCGGCUUAUCACCGGCAGUCCCCCUAGAGUGCCCAACUGAAUGAUGGCAACAUAGGACAAGGGUUGCGCUCGUUGCGGGACUUAACCCAACAUCUCACGACACGAGCUGACGACAACCAUGCACCACCUGUGCACGGCCCUUACGGACCCCCCAUCUCUGGGAGAUUUCCGUGCAUGUCAAGCCUAGGUAAGGUUCUUCGCGUUGCAUCGAAUUAAGCAACAUGCUCCGCCGCUUGUGCAGGCCCCCGUCAAUUUCUUUGAGUUUUAGCCUUGCGGCCGUACUCCCCAGGCGGGGUGCUUAAUGCGUUAGCUUCGGCACGGGGGGAGUCGACACCCCCCACACCUAGCACCCAUCGUUUACGGCGUGGACUAC
rnacentral:misc_RNA from 1 species